GAAACUACAAAGGAAGUUAGACGGGGCCCGGCGACAAGCGGAGGAACAUGUGGUUUAAUUCGAUGAUACGCGAGGAACCUUACCCGGGCUUGAAUUGCAGAGGAACAUAGUUGAAUGAUUAUGGCCGCAAGGUCUCUGUGGAGGUGCUGCAUGGUUGUCGUCAGCUCGUGCCGUGAGGUGUCGGCUUAAGUGCCAUAACGAGCGCAACCCUUAUCAUUAGUUACUAACAGGUCAUGCUGAGGACUCUAGUGAGACUGCCGUCGUAAGAUGUGAGGAAGGUGGGGAUGACGUCAAAUCAGCACGGCCCUUACGUCCGGGGCUACACACGUGUUACAAUGGGGGGUACAGAGGGCAGCUACCGGGCGACCGGAUGCCAAUCCCAAAAACCUCUCUCAGUUCGGAUCGAAGUCUGCAACCCGACUUCGUGAAGCUGGAUUCGCUAGUAAUCGCGCAUCAGCCACGGCGCGGUGAAUACGUUCCCGGGCCUU
rnacentral:rRNA from 1 species